rnacentral:rRNA from 1 species
CCUACGGGUGGCUGCAGUCGAGAAUCUUCCGCAAUGGGCGCAAGCCUGACGGAGCGACGCCGCGUGCGGGAUGAAGGCCUUCGGGUUGUAAACCGCUGUCAGAGGGGAGCAAAGGCAACUUGAGCGAUCCUCAGAGGAAGCGCAGGCUAAGUUCGUGCCAGCAGCCGCGGUAAUACGAACUGCGCGAACGUUAUUCGGAAUCACUGGGCUUAAAGGGUGCGUAGGCGGCUCUGCAGGUGGGGUGUGAAAUCCCUCGGCUCAACCGAGGAAUUGCGCUCCAAACCGCAGAGCUUGAGGAAGAUAGAGGUGAGCGGAACUCACGGUGGAGCGGUGAAAUGCGUUGAUAUCGUGGGGAACACCAGAGGCGAAGGCGGCUCACUGGGUCUUUUCUGACGCUGAGGCACGAAAGCUAGGGGAGCGAACGGGAUUAGAUACCCUAG